rnacentral:rRNA from 1 species
GACGAACGCUGGCGGCGUGCUUAACACAUGCAAGUCGAACGAUGAAGAAAAGAAUCGAAGCUUCGGCAGAAAUUCAUUUCGGAUUAGUGGCAGACGGGUGAGUAACGCGUGAGCAACCUACCUCUUACAAAGGGAUAGCCUCGGGAAACCGGGAUUAAUACCAUAUAACAUUGUGACGAAGCAUUUCGAUGCAAUCAAAGCUACGGCGGUAAGAGAUGGGCUCGCGUCCCAUUAACCGGAUGGUGAGGUAACGGCUCACCAUAGUGACGAUGGGUAACCGGGCAGAGAGGGGGGGCGGUCACACGGGAGCUGAGACGCGGUCGGGACUCCUACGGGAGGCAGCGAGGGGGGAUAUUGCAAGAUGGAGUGGGCUCAGAAGCAGCGACGCCGGGUGAGAGAUGAAGGAAUUAGAUUCGUAAAACGCUGUUCUAUGGGAAGAAAAGGACGGUACCAUAGGAGAAAGCACCGGCUAAAUACGUG